rnacentral:rRNA from 1 species
CCGGUUGAUCCUGCCGGACCUGACUGCUAUCGGAUUGAUACUAAGCCAUGCGAGUCUUUGCAGUAAUGCAAGGCAUACGGCUCAGUAACACGUAGUCAACUUACCCUAUGGACGAGGAUAAUCUCGGGAAACUGAGCAUAAUACUCGAUAGAUCAUAAUGCCUGGAAUGGUUUAUGGUUAAAAUGAUUCGUCGCCAUAGGAUGGGACUGCGGCCUAUCAGCUUGUUGGUGAGGUAAUGGCCCACCAAGGCGAUUACAGGUACGGGCUCUGAGAGGAGAAGCCCGGAGAUGGGUACUGAGACAAGGACCCAGGCCCUAUGGGGCGCAGCAGGCGAGAAAACUUUGCAAUGUGCGAAAGCACGACAAGGUUAAUCCGAGUGAUUUCUGCUAAAGAAAUCUUUUGCAAGUCAUAAAACCACUAGUGAAUAAGGGGUGGGCAAGUUCUGGUGUCAGCCGCCGCGGUAAAACUAGCACCUCAAGUGGUCAGGAGGAUUAUUGGGCCUAAAGCAUCCGUAGCCGGCUCUGUAAGUUUUCGGUUAAAUCCAUGUGCUCAACACAUGGGCUGCCGAAAAUACUGCAUAGCUAGGGAGUGGGAGAGGUAGACGGUACUCAGUAGGAAGGGGUAAAAUCCUUUGAUCUAUUGAUGACCACCUGUGGCGAAGGCGGUCUACCAGAACACGUUCGACGGUGAGGGAUGAAAGCUGGGGGAGCAAACCGGAUUAGAUACCCGGGUAGUCCCAGCUGUAAACGAUGCAGACUCGAUGAUGCAUUGGCAUAUAGCCAGUGCAGUGUCGCAGGGAAGCCGUUAAGUCUGCCGCCUGGGAAGUACGUACGCAAGUAUGAAACUUAAAGGAAUUGGCGGGGGAGCACCACAAGGGGUGAAGCCUGCGGUUCAAUUGGAUUCAACGCCGG